rnacentral:rRNA from 1 species
GAUCAUGGCUCAGGAUGAACGCUAGCGACAGGCUUAACACAUGCAAGUCGAGGGGCAGCGGGGAGUAGCAAUACUCCGCCGGCGACCGGCGCACGGGUGAGUAACACGUGUGCAACCAACCCCGUACCGGGAGAUAACCCGCGGAAACGUGGACUAAUACCCCAUAACACCUUUCCCCCGCAUGGGGGAGAGUUUAAAAUCCCGAUGGUACGGGACGGGCACGCGCGACAUUAGGUAGUUGGUGGGGUAAGAGCUUACCAAGGCGACGAUCGG